CAGCCGCCGCGGUAAUACCAGCUCCCCGAGUGGUUGGGGUGUUUACUGGGUCUAAAGCAUUCGUAGCCGGCCAGAAAAAUUCUCCGUUAAAUCUGACGAUUCAAUCGUUGGUCUGCGGGGAACACUCUUUGGCUUGGGGGCGGGGGAAGUCAGCGGUAUUUCUGAGGUAGGGGCGAAAUCCUAUAAUCUCAGGAAGACCACCAGUGGCGAAGGCGGCUGACUAAACCGCGCCCGACGGUGAGGGGUGAAAGCUGGGGGAGCGAACGGGAUUAGAUACCCCGGUAGUCCCAGCUGUAAACGAUGCAGGCUAGGUGUUGAAACAGCUCCGAGCCGUUUCAGUGCCGCAGGGAAGCCGUUAAGCCUGCCACCUGGGAAGUACGGUCGCAAGGCUGAAACUUAAAGGAAUUGGCGGGGGAGCACCACAAGGGGUGAAGCCUGCGGUUUAAUUGGAGUCAACCCCGGAAAACUUACCAGGGGCGACAGUUGGAUGACAGCCAGAUUAAAGGUCUUGCUAGACUAUCUGAGAGGAGGUGCAUGGCCGUCGCCAGUUCGUGCCGUGAGGUGUUCUCUUAAGUGAGAUAACGAACGAGACCUGCGCUUCUAGUUGCUACCGUUUCACAUCAGUGAUUCGGGCACACUAGAGGGACUGCCCUCGCUAAGAGGGAGGAAGGAGCAGGCCACGGCAGGUCAGUAUGCCCCGAAUCCCCUGGGCUACACGCGGGCUGCAAUGGCUGAGACAAUGGGAUCCGACCUCGAAAGGGGAAGGCAAUCUCGAAACUCAGCCUCAGUUUGGAUCGAGGGCUGAAACUCGCCCUCGUGAAAAUGGAAUCCCUAGUAAUCGCGUGUCAACAUCGCGCGGUGAAUACGUCCCUGCUCCUUGCACAC
rnacentral:rRNA from 1 species